UGGGGAAUUUUCCGCAAUGGGCGAAAGCCUGACAGAGCAAUGCCGCGUGGAGGUGGAAGGCCUACGGGUUGUCAACUUCUUUUCUCAGAGAAGAAACAAUGACAGUAUCUGAGGAAUAAGCAUCGUCUAACUCUGCGCCAG
rnacentral:rRNA from 1 species